UUAACUUUCAGGAGCCAUGCUGAGAGAUUAAUUUUGCAUCUCUCCGUAUCAUCCGUGCAGUAGGAGCAGCAGCAGCAGCCUUGCCACAGAUAUUGCAAUUAUCUGUGACCGAAUGCCUGGAAACACGCGUUGUUGUGUCUGCUGCCGUUACACGAGGGCUGUCAGCACGGAGCCUGCGAGUGCUGGGCAGGCAGCAGGGAAGCCAGAGCGGUGCAGGGCUCAACCCAGAGGUUAUCCAAGUCAUCAGGAAGCAUCACGUUGGCUCCUGCAGCCUUCGGCAAAGACACAGCUCCUUUCACUGUAACCACAUCUGAGCCCGUGCAACAGGCAUUACUUAAUAACCCCGAGUAGAGAAACAGAAGAAAUUUUCUUUGAAAGUAUGUGCCAAUCUCCCAAAUAGUAUUUCCAGCAAAAAGGCCCCUUAACAGCUACUGCUGCUGCAGACAGAAAAGGAAAAUGAGGCCUUCCUCACCUCUCCAGAGCCACAGUGCAACUAGUGCCAGGAAAUGGCUCUGAAAUUGAGGCUCAGGCUUUCGCCACUGCUUGUUCCACCUAUAAAGAAUGUCUGCAUUUCGCCCCUCUCCAGUUCCAGCGUUUCUUCUGUUUCUUCUCAAUGUGACGAAACCUGAGCAUGAAUGGGAAGAGUUCACUCGUAAUGCGGCCAGCCCCUGCGGUGCCGAGCUGAGAAAGUCUGUGGUUGUUAUUUCCUCCUGCGGGGUGUUUGUGGAUGACCAUCGCUGUCCCGAGAGCACCAGCCUGCGCAGCAGACAGCACGGUGCGGCCAGGCAGACGGUGGGCAGUGUCUGGGCAAACGUGGUGGUGUGUCCUGCUCAUGGCCAUGCCCAGCUUUGCCUAUUUGAUGUGCUGUCCCUACAUGAACAUUUCCUUAAUGGCCCUUUACCUCUGGAGCUGCAGCGGGCCAUGGAGCGAGCUGUGAUGCCAGGGCCACCCUCUGCACCCCAACCAGCAGUGGGUGCAGAAGCAGAUGCUGGAGGGGCAAAGCUGUGACAGCAAUCCCUGUCAUCCUGGAGGAGCAGAGAGGUGGUCCCGACCCACACCCAGUGCUGCUGAGUGCACCCCGAGGGGAGCAGCGUGGCCAGGAUGGGGGACAAGGCUGGGUGCUGGGGCAGCCCUGUGCUCACAUCUGGUUCCUCGGUGGCACAGCCCGGCCUUUGAAGCUGCUGAAGCUGGUCCCACCCAGGGGAAUGGCUGAGGAUGGGAUUUGUUCUUUUUCAAAGGCUUUGUUCCCCUGACAGCUGAGCUGGAGUCCAACCUGACUGUCCGCUGAAUCCAGCCCUUUCAUUUUCCCCUCUUUAAGUUUCGAGCUCGCACUUCACAUGCAGCGAGGGCAGGCUUAAGCUUGACUGUCAGAAUAAAAGCCUUUUCUUUCUGUAUCGCUUCUCCUCU
rnacentral:lncRNA from 1 species